rnacentral:lncRNA from 1 species
GUAGCAGACUUUCUGUUGAAUACACAGUUUUCUUCUUUUCAGUCCUACUGACGAUUUUUUUUUUCUUUUUCUUUUAAAGGAAGAACACUGACAUUCUUUUCAGGGGUCCAUGCUCUUCUUUUCCCUCUUUUGACCACUUAAUCUCUCAAGGGAUUUGUAUUUAUACCUUUUCCCAGUAGAAGGGGCUGGGCAAUUGUACCUGCUAGCUAAACGAGGAGGAAAAGUAGCACUUUUUAAUAUAUUUUUAAUCUGCGCGGUGUCCUGAAAGUAGCCAAGCCAAAGGAGUUCUGCUUGUUAAAGGGGAGCAGCUUUCUUGCAGCUUGCUGCUCUGAUAAGCCAAAUCCCAGGUGUGCUUUGAGCUAAUGAGAGGGAAGCAGCACCACGUUCUGCUCUCCAAACGCCCUGCUCUGCAAGCACCUGGAGAUUGCUGCCUGCAACAGCAUUAAAACAAUUUUGCUAUUUUACAGAGGGCUUGAAAACAUUCAAGGAGGGCUGGGAAGCAUGCAGUCCUGGAUGUCCGAACUCCACCGCUGCCAUUGUCCUUUAAGGCCACCUGGGACACUCAGAGCCUCCAUUUCUCCCUGCAGGUCAAGAAACACAUGGAGCAGGCCCCAGAAGUCCUUUAGUCCUUUUCUUUAGUAACAGCCUGCCAG